UUAACAAAAACACAAACCAUAGAAUGGAAAAAAUGUAACGUCAGAUCUUUAAAAUCAACUCAUACGUUCACUAACCACCUUUCAACUCCUACACGUGGUUGUAUUCUGUCAGGGAGAAAACGCCAGUGAAAAUCAAAUGCAAUCACCGCGCAGCAGGGUAUGAACUAGUACAGGACUCCAGAAUUUUGAAACUGAAAAAGAACUGCCAGGCACAAAUCGACAACUUAAAACUUGUCGCAUCAGAAACAACAACACUUCGAAUGAAUUCAACGUUUAAUCCAUUUUUAACACUAAACAUAACAUAAUUGAUACCACAAAUAACACCCCAUCACGUAAAAAUAAUAUCCGACUACCAACUACACAACAUACCAAUAGGAACGUUAUAUGACAAAGCAAACGAAAAAUCCAUAGCGCUAACAGAAAUAGAACGCCAGGCCCAAGAUCUGGCAACGCACCACCGUACUCAACGGUUAACAACAUAUACGAUUUAUGGGGCGCUAUAGUAGGAGUGCUAAUCUUUGUAAUUGGAAUAUUAUGGAUUACUAAAAGAAAUUGCAAAUAUAUCUGCGAAAAGAGAUCCAAACCUAAUAGAAAACAAAAAGAAGAAAUAGAAAUGAGAACAAAAGAACAAACACGAGCAAGAAACAUCGGAACACCGGGUAUAAGGCCAAUAAUCUCACCUCCAAUAUGCAUUACCGAAAUUCCAAGCAUAUGCCCGGCAAUAGCGGAAGAGUUACCAAAACCAGCCACGCAAGCACAUUUUUUCUAAAGCAACAGGUAAAAUAAAUCAGAUCAGAAACCACACAUUCUACCCCAUUUAUGCCCAAAUCAAUCACUAUAUAAACUCCUGCAUUAUCGCUCAAAAGUCAUUAACAGUCAAACCAUUUAAAGAGAAAGUACCCGCACAAAGCACCUAAAGGAAAAAUGUGAUUUAUCAGACCAAAAAAUGCUACCCUACCAAUAUUCAACGACACACGGAUGCCGCGUCUGAGCACCCCGGCAGAAAGAGUGCUACCUGCGCAUAUCCUGGGUCAACUCAGGAAAAGAGAGUGCAUACAGGGAUACACUUGGAUGGCAAGGGACGGCACUAAGGUCUGCGACGGGUGCCAUUGGACACUCUCCGAAGGUGAGGCCGCAAGUUACGAACCAGCCUACAUGCGCCAACUGGUGGAAGAGGGCCGCAGGGCCCACACAGCGGCCUCAUGCGGAAAAUGCAGGAGACGCGCACUAAACCCGGGAAACCCGGAGGAGUGCUUCGCGUGCACCGGCACGAUAGCCAGGACGCCCUGGAUGGAAUUGGCAGUACGGCCAUACAUUACGGUACCAGGACCGAGGACUCCCCCCUUACCCGAAUACUUAGGCUAGUCAUAAACAUAAACCCUCACCCUUUAUAUUAUACCCUUGGUACAUGUAUUAUAUUUUACUACUAACAUAUUAGUUCUAACGGAAUUAUAUUUUAUUACACUUAUAUAUAUUUAUACUCGUUCAACAUAUUAUUUCAUAGUUUAUUCAUUUAUAACGAAAUUAUAUUUUAUUAUAUUUAUAGCAUAUACGUAUAUUAUUAAUGUGGGAUUAAACAAGAGGAGUUUCUAUGAU